rnacentral:lncRNA from 1 species
GGGGAGCGGCGCCGGUCAGGGGCGGAGCCGCAUCGGAGGGGCGGCGGCCCGUGACCGCUCCGGACCUGGCUUGGGGCGGCGCCGGAAGGGGACGGGGGCGCGGCGGCGGAAGGGGUCGGGGGCGCGGUGGCGGAAGGGGUCGGGGGCGGAUCUGAGGGGUGGCGGAGCGGAUCAGUCCCCGGCGGUGGAUCUCAGGGACGGCGGCGGCUGAGGACGUCAGGGCGCGGCGGCGGACGUCACGGGCGC